GUCAGUAACUCAGCCCUAAAGGGACUGAGCUUGUAAGAGUAAUCGAGCAAGCUAUAGUGACCCGUCUAAGUCUUCACUGACUACGUUUUUUGAAUGAACCUAAUGGCUAAAAAUUGAAGUUAUUGGAGGGUUAGCGUUUAACUAUCAAUUCACAGCUAACCCUCAAAAUAAGACUAUUCAAUAAAUACUAAGCUCGAAAGUAAGCAGCU
rnacentral:sRNA from 1 species